rnacentral:rRNA from 1 species
CGCAGCAAACGCAUUAAGUGCCCCGCCUGGGGAGUACGGCCGCAAGGCUAAAACUCAAAGGAAUUGACGGGGGCCCGCACAAGCGGCGGAGCAUGCGGAUUAAUUCGAUGCAACGCGAAGAACCUUACCAAGGCUUGACAUACACCGGAAACGGCCAGAGAUGGUCGCCCCGCAAGGUCGGUGUACAGGUGGUGCAUGGUUGUCGUCAGCUCGUGUCGUGAGAUGUUGGGUUAAGUCCCGCAACGAGCGCAACCCUCGUCCCAUGUUGCCAGCGGGUUAUGCCGGGGACUCAUGGGAGACUGCCGGGGUCAACUCGGAGGAAGGUGGGGAUGACGUCAAAUCAUCAUGCCCCUUAUGUCUUGGGCUUCACGCAUGCUACAAUGGCCGGUACAAAGGGCUGCGAUACCGCGAGGUGGAGCGAAUCCCAAAAAGCCGGUCUCAGUUCGGAUUGGGGUCUGCAACUCGACCCCAUGAAGUCGGAGUCGCUAGUAAUCGCAGAUCAGCAACGCUGCGGUGAAUACGUUCCCGGGCCUUGUACACACCGCCCGUCAAGUCACGAAAGUCGGUAACACCCGAAGCCGGUGGCCCAACC